CUCCACACAAGUUCACCAAAAAAACUGUACGGUUUAUUUCGAAAAGUAUCGAGCUAUGAUUUUGCUCAAGUACUUGUCUAUAUCUAUCGGUUUACUCUUAUUGGUACCGAUGAACCGGUUUUCAUACGCCAAAACCGAACCCGUAAUGAAGUAUUGGAUCCAUAUCAAGAACAACUUACCGAAACAUGAUACCGAUGUUCUUAAGGUGCAAUGCUCAUCUGCAAACCGGAUGCUCAAACCGAGGCUGGUCGAACCGGGGCAAGAGUACGUGUUUUGGACAACGCAAUACACUGAAGAGAUAUUUUGUCAUUUCACUUGGACCAAACACAAACACACAACACGCGAUUUCGUACGUUCUAUCUUUUGGAAUGACAAAUCUUUCCUUCGAUUAUGCAUCAAUUUCAACUGCUUAUGGUCCGUGCAACACCAAGAUUUGUCCAUGAAUAUCCCCUUCGUAUAAGACAUAUACUCAUAUCUAUAUAUAUAUAUAUAUAUACUUACACGCACUCGAUUCGAUGUAAUGUUGUCCCGUUUAAUUAAGAGCGAGCUGUGAUAUUUCUCCGAAGAUAUAUGUUGUAUUGUGUUUACAUAAUAAACUAUUGUAUUUAAAAUUUGAAGUGAUUAUGAAUGAUCAACACCAGUCUUGUAACAUUCUCGUAAAAUUUUGUUUUACCCGAAAUCGGUUGAUCCACGAAGUACCCGUUUCAUGGGAACUCUCACUGUCGGCUCACGGAUCAACAUCAAUGUCGCAUUCUUAUAAGGAUCACAACAAACGAUUAAUCUCAGUGACAAAAAAAAAA